UUUAUUUCAAGUUUCUCUGGGAUAAGGAGAUGACCACAGGGGGUAGUUGUCAACAGUAUUACCAAAGGAUGCAAGAUGGUGGCCAUGGGGCUUAUGUAAUAUACUGUAUUAACAGUUAACUGAGUUGGGAGACAAAUAUCCUAGUUCUCCUGGAGAAUUGGGAGAUGGGUAGCCCCAGUCUCAGCUGUAAAAUAAGCCUGUCUCCAGUCCACCCAGCCCCCUGAGAAGGAAGGAGGUUUGGAUUCCUGGGAUUGAUGAGUUACUUGCCCGUGGGUGUUGAAAGGAAGAGGGGAGGGAACCAGAAUGCAGAUUUCAGAGACAACUGUCUGAACCCUGCCACCCCUUCCCUCCUCAGCCAGGAGUUCCUGGAGAUAAUCGCCCCAGUUACCAUCGGCAAAUGUCAGAACCUAUUGUCCCUGCAGCUCCCCCGCCCCCUCAGGGAUUCAAGCAAGAAUACCAUGACCCGCUCUAUGAACACGGGGUCCCGGGCAUGCCAGCGCCCCCAGCACACAGGUUCCAGUCACCAAUGGGAAUCAAGCAGGAGCCUCGGGAUUACUGCGUCGAUUCAGAAGUGCCUAACUGCCAGUCAUCCUACAUGAGAGG
rnacentral:sRNA from 1 species